rnacentral:rRNA from 1 species
UGCAGUCGAACGAGGGCCCGGGGCUUGCCCCGGAUACCCUAGUGGCGGACGGGUGAGUAACGCGUGGGAACCUACCCUGGAGCGGGGAAUAAUCACUGGAAACGGUGGCUAAUACCGCAUACGCCCUCAGGGGGAAAGGCUUCGGCCACUCUAGGAUGGUCCCGCGUCCGAUUAGCUUGUUGGUGGGGUAACGGCCUACCAAGGCGACGAUCGGUAGCUGGUCUGAGAGGAUGAUCAGCCACACUGGGACUGAGACACGGCCCAGACUCCUACGGGAGGCAGCAGUGGGGAAUAUUGGACAAUGGGGGAAACCCUGAUCCAGCAAUGCCGCGUGAGUGAAAAAGGCCUUAGGGUUGUAAAACUCUUUCACCCGUGAAGAUGAUGACGGUAGCGGGAGAAGAAGCUCCGGCUAACUCCGUGCCAGCAGCCGCGGUAAUACGGAGGGGGCUAGCGUUGUUCGGAAUUACUGGGCGUAAAGCGCGCGUAGGCGGCUUAUCAAGUUAGGCGUGAAAGGCCUGGGCUCAACCCGGGAACUGCGCUUAAUAUUGGUAGACUUGAGUCCGGGAGAGGGUGGCGGAAUUCCCAGUGUAGAGGUGAAAUUCGUAGAUAUUGGGAAGAACACCAGUGGCGAAGGCGGCCACCUGGCCCGGUACUGACGCUGAGGUG